rnacentral:tRNA from 1 species
GCGCUCGUAGCCUAGUCCGGACCAAGGCAUCGGCCUUCUAAGCCGAGGAUCCCGGGUUCGAAUCCCGGCGAGCGCG